rnacentral:rRNA from 1 species
CUUGCAGGGUACUCGAGUGGCGAACGGGUGAGUAACACGUGGGUGAUCUGCCCUGCACUUUGGGAUAAGCCUGGGAAACUGGGUCUAAUACCGGAUAGGAGCCAUUUUUAGUGUGAUGGUUGGAAAGUUUUUCGGUGUAGGAUGAGCCCGCGGCCUAUCAGCUUGUUGGUGGGGUAAUGGCCUACCAAGGCGGCGACGGGUAGCCGGACUGAGAGGUUGGUCGGCCACAUUGGGACUGAGAUACGGCCCAG